rnacentral:rRNA from 1 species
ACUCCUACGGGAGGCAGCAGUGGGGAAUAUUGCACAAUGGGCGCAAGCCUGAUGCAGCCAUGCCGCGUGUGUGAAGAAGGCCUUCGGGUUGUAAAGCACUUUCAGUCGUGAGGAAGGUAGUGUAGUUAAUAGCUGCAUUAUUUGACGUUAGCGACAGAAGAAGCACCGGCUAACUCCGUGCCAGCAGCCGCGGUAAUACGGAGGGUGCGAGCGUUAAUCGGAAUUACUGGGCGUAAAGCGCAUGCAGGUGGUUGUUAAGUCAGAUGUGAAAGCCCCGGGCUCAACCUCGGAAUAGCAUUUGAAACUGGCAGACUAGAGUACUGUAGAGGGGGUAGAAUUUCAGGUGUAGCGGUGAAAUGCGUAGAGAUCUGAAGGAAUACCGGUGGCGAAGGCGGCCCCUGGACAGAUACUGACACUCAGAUGCGAAAGCGUGGGAGCAAACAGGAUUAGAUACCCCUGGUAGACUGUCA